GAUGAAGAACGCAGCGAAAUGCGAUAAUUAAUGUGAAUUGCAGAAUUCCGUGAAUCAUCGAGUCUUUGAACGCACAUUGCGCCUCAUGGCAUUCCGUGAGGCAUGCCCAUCUCAGCGUUAGAAAAUUUUCUCAAAUUUUAGUUUUGUGCUAAAAUUUGGAUCAUGUCAAGGAAGCUAUUACUAUUAUUGUGAUCGCUCUUUGGAAAUUGAUAGGUCUUUGAGUUGCUACUCAUAGAACGUGAUGAAUCUUUCUUCGUUCUAUUGUAAUUCACUCUGGUAGUCCUAAAACUUGUAUGCCUGUGGCAUAUCUUGUAAUUUGACCUGAGAUUGGGUAGGGAUACCCGCUGAACUUAAGCAUAUCAAUAAGCGGAGGA
rnacentral:misc_RNA from 1 species